rfam:Lachnoclostridium sp. An14 An14_contig_49, whole genome shotgun sequence.
AGAUACCAGGGGAUAAAGUUCAAAACCCCGACGCAAGCUUGCUUGCAGGAGGGAUUUUGAAUUUUAGACCCGCCAAAACCAUGAAUAAGGAGCCGUUUUCGCAGAAAACGAGCGGAUUAUGAAUGGUUUUGCAGGAUUGCGGGAGUGCGGAGCACGGAGCAAUCCGGGAUCC